AUUAUGUGUACUGAGAGUUAGAUGUUCUGGGGCUUAAGUUUUGUAAAUAAAAUGUGAUAUGAACAAACUGAACAACAAAAAUAUAUUCAUGAGAUAGAAUAAUAUAAGUACAAAGUUAGCCAAAGUAUCUUGAUUCAAUAAUAACUAAACUAAUGUAGCUAAACAUAGAGCAAUUGGAAUUUAACUUUUUUUUUACAAAAUAUAAAAACGAAAAUAAAAUGUAGAAAUAGGGUAAAUAACUUUGGGCUUAAACAAAUAGGUUACAACUUUCUUCAGACACUGCUAAAGGGCAGAAAUAAUUAGAACACCUGCACAUGAAUGACUAAACGACAUUUAAAUAUCCCAAUUAUGAAAAAGUAAAGAAAAAAAUUAACCAAAAUAAAUAUAGAGCUUGCUAACACUUGUUCUAGAAAUAAACAAAAACAUCGUAAGACUUUCCCAAGUGAUUGACAGUGUGUCACUUCCGGUGAAGUUUAAGAUAGCAACAUGUCCGACGUCACCUGUGUGUCGUGAAACAUGAGUAAAUAAAACGCUCACAGGAGGAACAUUAUGAUUCACUUAUCCAGAUGUAAGUGAGGAGUCGUGGAUUUCUCCUCUGGGAUUCUCCAGGCCUUUGAACAGAAAAGGGGAUGCUAAAAACCUGCUAAAGAAGUUAGCGCCAACCAGGAUCCUUCUCUUCUCCACAGCUGCAGGUGUGGCAUCAGUUCCAGCAACUGUAUGGAGUCCUUUCAGGAAUAUGGCCAGGUCUUAGUGCGAAGAUCUCAAAACUGCCCCUGUGAACCCAGACGAUUUCUCAUCAGGCUGCGGCAGCCGCAGCACCGAGCUCAUUCACGGAGGAGUCCGAUAUCUACAGAAAGCCAUCACGAAAUUGGAUUACAAACAGGAAGCAGUGACAUGUUUGCCUUGAAUGACUGCCUGCCUGGGAUUUUCUGAAGUUGUUUUAAAGAAAUCUCCCCAACUUGGCGGACCUCUGUUGUUAUCAUAUAAGGAAACCAAUGUCGUCGUCACUCAGGCCAAAGGGCCACUGUGGCUUUAAGUGAGCUUCUUGUGUGGCCGCAGCAGCCUCGCACUGAUGCAAAGUGACAGGGACAGAUGUGACAUAUCGGUUCCGACACACUUCCAUACCACCAGUCACAGGCUGGGGGUGAGUCACAUCCCCCUGCUCUGGUCCCGUCCCCCCGCUGCAGGACAACACCACGAUGCUCGAAUGAACCUCGCCAUCACUCUGACUGCUGCCAGGUAUGAGCCUGCCACGGCCUAUUACACUGAAGCGCUGCACCUACUGCAGAGGGCAGAGCCUUAGCCGCGGAAGGGGAGGGACUGCGGAGCACGGACCACAGGGACAUAUGAUCACAGGAUCCCUCAGUCUCUGCCACCAGGCUACUCUGUGACACAAAGAAGCAAGAGGGAAAUUAGGGCAGGAAUUUGAUGUCAGAGCCAAAUGUGUUAUCAAUGCCACGGGACCUUUUACGGACGCACUGCGGAAAAUGGAUGAUCAGAAGAACCCCGACAUCUGUCAGCCCGGUGCUGGGGUGCACAUCGUCAUCCUGGGCUAUUACAGAAGGCUCACACCUCCAGUCCUGGAGCGCCUGGAUGUCGUCACGUCAUCUUCUAACUUGGCAGAGGACGCCACAACACGCCUACACCAAGUCAGAGGGGAGGAGGACAAUAUGGAGCUGAUAGCAGCAGAAGUCCACAGCAGUUUGCAGCGUCCUGUGCAGGACGGCGUCUGGGAGCCCCCGGUGCCGUGAGACGAGCUCAGGCGGCUGGAUUUCAACGCUAAUCUGUUUGAUGUAGUGCAUCAGCAGGUCAGCAUCACAGCACAGAGACAAACUGUUCCUUCCUGGCAGCAGCUGUCAGUCAGUCUGAGUGAACUGCAUCCUUCAGCCAACAGAAGAUAGGACGGAAAAGAGAUCAGGACAGAGAUUAUGGGGGAGCUCUGAGGUUCUGUGCCCACCAGAGAGAGCAUGACUGUUCCAGUUGGGAAAGACCCAGGAAUGGACCAAUGGUGACCUCUACGUACUUGCAGCAGCAGCAGCAGCAUUGUCGACGCUCUCCCUCAACCCUUUACUCUUGAUGGAUGGGCUCGUGAAAGCCUCUCAGGAUCGGGGGGGAACAGCCAACUAAAUUCUUGACCAAGGACGGAAAAAAAAGGAGGCAGCUCAUGAAUGAACAGAGAUGAAGGAGAAGCCGAUUUAUCCUGCGAGGAUGACAAAUUUCCUGGAUAGUUUGAAGAGUGCUGUGAGGAGAGAGCAGUGCCUGCAGUCUGCAAGAGAGGCAGCAGGAAGGGGGGGCAGGACCGUCAUUUGGAAUUCAGCACUGCAACAUUGCCAUCUUUUGGCCAAGGCGUAUACUCUACGUUUUCAAGGAUGCACCGACUCUAAAACAACAAGAAAAGCAGACGUUUGGAGGGUUUUGUGAAAGAAGAAAACUUGAUCAACAAAGGUGCUACGUCUGUGCUUCAGCUUUCAUGAACAAAGAAAAAAAAGGAAAUGGGGUCAAUUAUGGCCCCGAACCACCAUGCAGUGACAGUGACCUGGAAGCAGUACUGAUGACCCCACGUCCAGGGGCCCAAAAGAGUUGAUCAUCUAACAUGCAAGCCCCCCGGAGCAAUGGAAAUCUGACAUUUGUCCUUAUUCAAAUGAACACAAACAAUAUGCAACUCACGGCUCUCACUAACCUGUGCCAAAUCUAUAAGGCAAGAGGACCAGCAGUCGUAUGGCAUUGUCCUCCCAACCCAGUUCAUGGCCUUCACUGAGAAUACAGCCACAGAUCAGUCACAGUGGGCCAGUAGUGAGUUCAAUGUAUGGGAAAACACCAUCCCCACCAGCAACAGCACUACCACUGGACAAUUGAAUUUCUACAGCAGGGGUAUUCAAAUACGUAUUUUAAAGGUCCACAUGCACAUUUGUCAAUAAGUCAAUGGUCCAGGUGGACAAGAGGGAGUGGUGAAAAUGCAAUGGAACCUCAAACAAAUACAUUAGAAGUUGGGUGUAAGAAAACAAGUUUUCUUUUUAAAUAUAGACGUGCUUAUUUACACGUUCUGACCAAACCAAAAGACACAACGUGAAUUUUUCAGCUCACACUCAUCCAGUUGGCAUUUACUGUCCUACAGUUAACCACACUGCAGUCAUAAACUUGUUUUUUCAAUGGGAGAUAAAAAUUUUAGGGCUCCUAAAAAUAUAAGUGACUGAUCAACCAUCUUAGGUCAUCACUUAAAAAACAACAAUCAAAAUCAGUGGCCUGUAGUGAGAGGUGAAUUCCCCAUUUGCUAAAUCUCUUCUGGAUAUAUUUUCUUUAAAUAAUUUUUUUACUGUUUAUUUAAUACAGAUAACUUUUUUUGGCUUGUCACUAAAUUUUAAUCAUCCAACCAGCAAUUUUUGAUAAUUUGCUAAAACAACUGGACAGAGACGAGAGAGUUUGGUUUUUAAAUGUUACCGUAACAAUCUGCUGAUUUAGAAUGCAUUAGUAACUGUAAUUAAGUCUGUGCCAUUUGUUAAAAUAAAAACACUUUUAGUGGCAAGACUUGAAGUGUGCUAAACAAUAACAAACACCACACUGUAUGUAAUGUACUCCAAUAUGUAGUCCUUAAUGCUGCGGCCAACACGAGUGCUUUUACAAGACUGGAUCUAAAAGCUUUUGCAAACACGACUCCAUAAGAGGGUUAUUGCCGUAACACGGGUACACACAGUAAAUUCCCUCUGAAUAGCUCUUGCCUGCAGCAACACCUUCCACAGUAAAUGUUUAUCCAUGUGGACUUCCCAUCUCAUGCUGUUUUGUCUGUAUGUGCACAAGGUAGUGGCCUGGCCUGGAACUGAAUGACACAGAGCAAAGGCUCUCAUGUCUGCAGGGCGUUCCACGGAGCAUGAUCAUGAAAAGCAGAAACAUGAAGAAAACUGCAAAAGGUUGAGCCAUGGAAACGUCCUCUCUCCUGCACUUCUCAGACGAGGCAGAGACGCAAGUUGUGACCUGGUGCGAAAGAGUCUAUAAGAAUGAUCAGAUUCCCUGAAGAUUGUGUACAGCAGUGUUCACAAAGAAAACUGGCUGUGUCCAAAUGGCUUUGGGGUAAAAAGCCGGCCACCGGGCAUCUCAGGUGCCAGCGGGCACUGUCCUAACUGUGUACCUUUGGCCAGAACUCAUUACAGGGUGACAUUUAGGACUGCUGCUGCUGUCCAUGCCAAGUCAGCCCUCUGGAUUGAGACAAAUUAUGUAGUUAUUUUUUAUGUCAGACAUUAAGUCAUGUCCAGUGGGAGCAAAAUCACUAUCACCUUGAUGUCACACACAGAAAAUUGAUAAAGGCUGUGGACUUUUAAACAGAGAAAUUAAGUUAGAAACCAUGCCCCCCCUUGGUUUCUAACUUAUUUUCUGGAAUUUUCCAAACACACCAGUUGGAUUUUGCGCAGUAAUACACAAGCAAUAGAACCUGUAUGAUGACAUCAUAUCUAAAGUAUAUUAAUUAUUACCAAACUCAACUGUCCAGGGAAAUAAGUGUGGACGUUUAUGUUAAAAAAAAAACACCAAGAAAAACGUUGUUGUGUUUCAUUUUUGCUUACAGAUAAACAGUAGUAGGUGCAGUGAUUUUGCUCGAGUUAUGGACAUUCUCGAUAAAAAAAAUAAAUACUAUUGUGAUAUUUUGAUACCUGCAUGAUGUCCUAUAUUGGUUAUCAUUCAUAUACAUUUUCAAAUAUUCACAAUAUUCAAAAUGUUCUUUCUAUUUGUAUUUUUUUUUUACCUGUAGUUCUGUUUCAGAGUAACUUUUCAGGGGUUUUUUUCUAGAUUCCGAGGACUGGCGCAAACACUAGGAGCAGAGUUAGAGCUCUAUCUUGUGGACAAGAGCAGGUACUGUACAACGAGGCGGUAGUCUGACAAAUAAAUGCUUAAAUAUUUGCCAACAUAAGUAGUACUUCAAAGUGAAAUUACAAGUGUAAAAUAAUGUCUAAGCCCACAAACCUGGAGCAUAUUUAAUAAUUCUGAGUGUAAUGAAACGAUAUACCGCUGCAACAUUAACAUUAGCUGUAAAAGCAAUUAAUGCAUAUCUUAUAGACUUUUAAUAAAGUGUGAAAAGAAGAAGAAGAAGAAAAACACCAAAUGAGAGAAUUGAGAGCCCAGACAAAGAUUAAACACUGGGUUCAUUUCACAGUGGUAGAAUAUACACAAAGCAUGAAAUGAAUCAAAGUUGUUUAUCUGUAUUGUAUUAAAAAACAACAAAAAAACAAAUUAUAUAUAAUUGCUCAUUUGAUGUAUUUGGCGUCAAACAUUUAUCAGAUGUAUAUACUGGGGAUAUUUUUCUUCAGGUUGUAAUAGGGAAAAUUAUGGGAUGUAAUUGAUUAUAAGUUAAUUGUGCAAAGGUCUCCCUGAUGGGAACCAUCUGUCAAAGCAAGCUGUACAUUCACUAAUUCUAAUCAUAAUUAAUUAAAUGGCUAACAAAUUAUAUACAUCAUAGUUAGCACAGGGGCACAAAUACCGCAGGAUGUGUUAUGAAACAAAUUAGAUUUAACAAUGAAAGAAAAUUACAUCACAUAACUAAAUAUUAUACUCGUUUCCACAAGCCAUAUUUCUUAAUGAAUUCUCUAAUUAAUUUAAUUCACACAAUGUGCAUAAUUUGGAGCUGGAAAUGUCAGUGGGUCAGACUUAACCAUAUUGUUGCUGGCUGUCUGUUUCAACGAGUGCCGUAUUAGCACAACAUGACCUCUAUGUAAAUUACACACACCAACUGUUGUCAUUUUAAUUCCAGGGUCUAAUUAACAUGUUCUAAAGAUACAGUACAAGUGCAUUUAACUCAUUGUACAUGAGCCAGUGUCAGUGCAGCAUUAACAUUUGUCUCAGUUUAGUGGAAUCCCUCUGAUGUGAGGAGUCACAGCGAUCAGGUUAUCGAUGUCACUGACUACUAAAAGGCUUUUUUUAUUUCGUUCCAUCAAGUCUGGAACAUUCCAGUUCACUGUGGCCCCAGCCACACUUGAAACUCUUUACUGGCACAAAUGAAAGUCAUUCAGAAAGGGUUAGUGUAUACAUUACAAUUGCGUAACUGAGUCAAGUCAUUUUAGAGACACUUCUUAAACCAAAUCCCAUUUACGAUUCUUUAAUAUUGAGGUCAAGAGGCACACUCAGGAGUGACAGAUCUUCAUUACUGACUUUGAAUAAGACUUAUUUUAUAAGACUUUUGGUGUUAUGAUACAUAGAUAGAUAGAUAUUUUAGUAAAAAGUACUUUUGUUUAAUAUAAAUACUGUACAAUACUAACAUAUACAGCUAGUAAAUAGAAAUAAGGCAUUUUAAUAAUAAAUAAAAAAUUGAGAAUAAAUAAUAAUAAAUUGCCUAAAGGGUGAAAUUAACAACAAAGUUAUACAAACGAGUAGUAAGGGCAAACAAAACCAAAAACAAAAUUGACAACCACAGUUUAUUAGGAACACAUUGUUGAGCAGUUCAUUAAAAAAUAAUCCUACUAAUAAGGUCCAAGGUGGUCAUUUUAUUUGCUACAAUAUUCAUAUCUUUUGACAUGUGUACACAACAAAAGUGUACUUUGCUGCCUGACACUUGUGUAUAACCUCGUUUUGAUAAUGUUCACCCCCAUGUCUGAACAGUUUAUGGAAAAUACAGUCGUAUUCACCAGUCCAUGGCUGCACCCGAUGUGAAUACAGAAAUAGAAUAAAUUAAUACAUUUGCCCAUCAAAUGGGGGCAUAUAAGCUAACACAUGCACCGUGGAGCUUGGGGCUAUCCUCAGGCCAAUCAUUUAGCUAACAGACUAAUGAAAGCCUGUGUAGUGUGGCUAAGGGCAGCCGCCAUGGGAGGUCCCUCUCUCCUCCCUCCUCGUGUUGGGACUGUUAAUAGGCUGGAUAGAGCCAGUGUGACUCCCAGGAGAGGCCUGCUGAUGAAGAGGAAAACCUGUCGCCAUCUUCACUAAUCACUGCCUAAUGGUCGCAGUAACACUGCUUUUAGAGAUGAAAUUGUGCGUGUGUGUGUGCGUGUGCGUGUGCGCACGCGCGUUUCAUUAAUCUCAUUCAGAUUCCGGGGGCGGGGCGGUUCCAUAUGUAUUCUAUAUAGAAAUGUUAGUUCUAUAUAUGGCGGUGUCAUUUUCUUACACACAGAAUUGUCGGUUUAAUUUAUCGACUCGUUUCGAUAAUGUGCUUUCCCUUGCUGCCAGCCUAAUUUUGUUUGAAAAACAUUCGUCAAUGAACCAUUUUCACGAAAACUAUUUAAAAAAAAGUCCGCUACGAUGACGAAACCUAUGACGAUUGUGAUGAACACUGUGAUAAACGAAUCAAAAGACGAAUUUAUUAGGGCGGGACAAAUAGAGACGGGAUCCAAUCAAAACGAAUCACAUUGUGAGGGUAGGCUGAUCUCCAGCAGCAGAGCAACUGCUAUUGCACGUUAAAAGUUUACACUACUUUUAAACUACUUUCAGUCGUAAGCAGCGAUUUCCAACAAUGAACCCAAGGUAUGUUCAGUGAAGAACACAGACUUUUUAACGCGAGGUUUAUAACAAAAACAAAUGACCUACAUUUGGUCACGUCACAUAUGACAACAGGAGCCUCUGUAAAACAUGUGAAGCAAAUAUCGCAGGGAAAACACCACUCACUGAUACUUGUUUUAAUUAUUUACAGAUGAAUGUUCUAUUUCUUGUGCAGUGUCAUUAAGACCAACAUAUUUUCUUCACCUGUUUGAGUUUUUUAUUUUCAAAUAUUUAAUAUGGUAAUAGACAGAUGAAUAAAACAAAAUACAUAGUCCAUAUUACAUCUGUUUCUAUGCUUGUAUUGGACAAUCAAAGUUUAAAAGUCUAACAUUCUAAAACACAUUUGAUAUUUCCAUUGACUGGAAAUUCUGGAGAUACAUUUACAGUAGUUGACUUAGGAUACCAUAGAUUUGCCUGACUAAAACUCCUAU